GGAGGAAAAGAAACCAACAGGGAUUGCCCCAGUAACGGCGAGUGAAGCGGCAACAGCUCAAAUUUGAAAUCUGGCCCCUAGGGCCCGAGUUGUAAUUUGCAGAGGAUGCUUUUGGCGAGGCGCCUUCCGAGUUCCCUGGAACGGGACGCCAUAGAGGGUGAGAGCCCCGUCUGGUCGGACGCCGAGCCUCUGUAAAGCUCCUUCGACGAGUCGAGUAGUUUGGGAAUGCUGCUCUAAAUGGGAGGUAUAUGUCUUCUAAAGCUAAAUACCGGCCAGAGACCGAUAGCGCACAAGUAGAGUGAUCGAAAGAUGAAAAGCACUUUGAAAAGAGGGUUAAACAGUACGUGAAAUUGUUGAAAGGGAAGCGCUCAUGACCAGACUUGGACCCGGUGAAUCAUCCAGCGUUCUCGCUGGUGCACUUUGCCGGGCCCAGGCCAGCAUCAGUUUGCCCCGGGGGAUAAAGGCUUUGGGAAUGUGGCUCCCUCGGGAGUGUUAUAGCCCAUUGCACAAUACCCUGGGGCGGACUGAGGUUCGCGCAUCUGCAAGGAUGCUGGCGUAAUGGUCAUCAGCGACCCGUCUUGAAACACGGACCAAGGAGUCGUCUUCGUAUGCGAGUGUUCGGGUGUAAAACCCCUACGCGUAAUGAAAGUGAACGCAGGUGAGAGCUUCGGCGCAUCAUCGACCGAUCCUGAUGUUCUCGGAUGGAUUUGAGUAAGAGCAUACGGGGCCGGACCCGAAAGAAGGUGAACUAUGCCUGUAUAGGGUGAAGCCAGAGGAAACUCUGGUGGAGGCUCGCAGCGGUUCUGACGUGCAAAUCGAUCGUCAAAUAUGGGCAUGGGGGCGAAAGACUAAUCGAACCUUCUAGUAGC
rnacentral:rRNA from 1 species